CAACACGCAACAGAACACCAUAACACACUUCACAUAGCUACCCAUUGCUACUUAAAACACACAACUGCUACAGUUACCCCGCUCGUAACAAAAACCACAACAAACAAGCUUUGCAAUACACCUGGCUACCUAGAAAGACCAAAAACACAAUUAGGCUAACAGCAUGGGUGCGCUAGUUGAAACUAGAGACCACAACUGUAAAGCAACCUGUUAGAAAAAAGCUAAAAUUGUG